UACGGGGGGGGCAAGCGUUGUUCGGAAUUACUGGGCGUAAAGGGCUCGUAGGCGGCCAACUAAGUCAGACGUGAAAUCCCUCGGCUUAACCGGGGAACUGCGUCUGAUACUGGAUGGCUUGAGUUCGGGAGAGGGAUGCGGAAUUCCAGGUGUAGCGGUGAAAUGCGUAGAUAUCAGGAGGAACACCAAUGGCGAAGGCAGCUCGCUGGGACGGUACUGACGCUGAGACGCGAAAGCGUGGGGAGCAAACAGG
rnacentral:rRNA from 1 species